CCACAACUUUACAAAAUAGCUGGUCUACUGUAAUUUUCACAUUUAAUUUAUUAAUUUUCUGUCAACUGUCAUGUGAGUGACUUAAUCUGCUAGUUUUCAGUAUUUUUCUCGAAUAUUUCUCGGUGAAGAGGUUGUACACAAGUAUAAUGAGACAGAAUCGUUAAUUAUUAUCAACAAUUAUCAAAAAUUAUUUUGAAAACUCGAUURCCAAACAUUCUGGUCCGAUGAACCGACUUCUCUAAAACUUCUUCACAGAGCUUGAAAACUAAUGCAUUAUCCUUUUGAAAUAAAGAAGCAAUUGUGAUCGCCGGGCACAGACGCUAGACCAACCCCCUAUUCUUUCAAGGUGACACCACGGUUAUCGCUGUUCCCAGACGUUAGUGAGACUGA